AAAGAGCAUGAUACAUAAGAGGUUGCAAAACAAAGAGUUUGUUUCCCUAUUCCUAGUUAGGCAUUAGCUUGAAAGCUGAGAAUGCCUCACAAGGAUAGCAACAAAACUGCACCUUGAAGUCAAGCACACCAGCUACUCUUUAAAAAAUUUAUGAUAUAACAGAAAACUCAUCCUAAUCUGCACCUGCAAAAAAGGCUGCAUCACACCAAAACAGCACCGCAACAUCCCCUUAGGGAUAGGUUCCUGGCCAGGUUUUAGUCCCCCUUCUUCACUCAUCAAAGAAAACCAAAGUAUCAACCCAUCAUACAACUUCCAUUUAUUAGUUGGUUUGGUGGUGGUUAUUCCAUCUGAUAACAGCACCUUCAGAUGCAUCUUAUGAGCUCCAGACAAAAAGGAAACAGCCGCAACACAUGAUUUGAACCUACCCUGCUUCUACCAAUCAAGACCCAGCAAAUCUGUCCUCCAGGCCGCAACUUAAACCAGCCUAGCUUAAUACAAAGCACAUAUUAAGCCCCUUGAGUGAUGCCUUGGCUGCCAAACAGGCUCCACAAACACUAAAAAAACCAACAGCUUAAUACAGCUCAAAACCUGAACCGAGAAGCCCCUAACACAGAUGAAAUAUACUGCACUUGAUGGCCCCAUACUACAAACCAUUGAACGACACCUGUAAGCAUCAACCAACAUUUCUUUCACCAAAACCAAGACAUCUUUGUCAACAUAACAUCAGCUUCAUGAUUACCAUUCAGAUUAUUAGACACAUUCAAUCCAGCCAGUGCUUGUAAAAUGAAUAUGCCCUACAUCUACCAAUCUGAACCAACAAUAAUCCCCUCCAAACAACAUCAACAUCCAUCCUAUCUUUUAGACUCCAACACUGUUUCUCAUAUUCCUUCAGCUUUGCAUACACCAACACUUGUUUAUCUACCAAACCCAGCAACCAGCUAAGCAAAGCUUAAUCCCAUCCAACCUUAAGUUGAAACAAGACUGCAACUCUGUUUAUAGCAUUGUGUACCUCUUGAAGCGCUGUUACCAGCCCUCUGUAGCACCCAAACCUGCACCCAGGACCCCUCUUAACCUAACACUGGUUCACUAAAAGGACCGCAGAUACUCAUACUGCCCCUCUACCACUCACACCUUAUUACUUAAUGCUUUUUAUACAUGUAACCGGAUUAAGAGUCCA
rnacentral:lncRNA from 1 species